UUCUGAAAGUGGGGGAUUUUUGUCUUGUCUAAAUCAGAACGUGUAAGAGUUGGAGGAACCUGGCUCCCAGUUUUUAUGUCAUUUCUUAACUCCUGGUAAAAACUAAGUGUGUUUCACAGAUUGGUGUGAGGAGAUAAGUGAUCUUUGUUCUGGUUUUGUAGGUAUGUAUAAAAGGGGUCUUUCAUUAAUACAGAAAGAAGUGAGCAGCUUAGAUGUGGCGUCGUGCAUAAACGAUGGGAGAGUCCAGGGUGCCUGCCACCUUUGUAUCCGCUCAUUCAGCAGAUAGGUUCGACUGUGUAUCAGUUGCAGUUUAAGGCACUGUGAUCAACAGGAAACAAGACAGUCUCAGAAACACUGCGUUUCUUGUUUGUUUCUGCGUGUCCACACGCGGGGGCCGGGCAGUUUCUGUGUCAGCAUUGUGAGAGUCCUCCACUCCGAGACACGUGGAGCUUGGUGGGUGAGACGGAUGCAGGCAGUGUGGCACCGUGUGUAUAGAUAGUCAGUGUUUAGUUGAUUCUGUGUGCAAGAGGUGGUACUAGAAAAAGUGUAAUAGGAUUUGUCUUAUGUAUUUACAAUUUAAGGUUUUAUAAAGUUCAUUUUAAAAUAAGUUACCUAAUUUAGAGCCACCUGAUUCUCUUCUGUGUCUCCUAGCAGCCGUAAAAACCUGUAUUUCACUUCUCAAACACUACAUUGUGCCCAAUAAAGUAUCACCUGGUACCCCAUAAAUAGUAACUAGAAAUUAAAAAAGCUUAGCCCAUGAUACAUCAUUUGAAGAGUUCCACUGUUUGUUUGUUUGUUUAAAAAGAUUCUGUUUAUUUAUUUGAGAGGUAGAGUUACAGGAGGGAGAGGGAGAGACAAAAAAGAAAAGUCUUCCAUUCUCUGGUCACUCCCUACAAGGCUGCAACGGCUGGAACUGGGCUGAUCCAAAGCCAGGAGCUUCUUCCAGGUCUCCCACGCUGGUGCAGGAGCCCAAGCACUUGGGCCAUCCUCCACUGCUUUCCCAGGCCACAGCAGGGAGCUGGAUGGGAAGAGGAGCAGCGACACUACAGGCAGAGGAUUAACCUGCACCACAGUGCCAGCCUCUGUCUUUUAUUUUCAAAGUUCUAUUCAUUCAUUUGAAAGAGAGCCUCCAUCUGCUUAUUCACUGCCCAGAUGCCACAGCUGGGGCUGGGCCAGGUUAGAGCCAGCAACCUUCGGCAGAUCCCGGAUCCUGACUGCCCUGCCACACACUGGGCCUCCACCUCCAGUGUCGCAGUGCCCUCCCUGGUCAGACUGGGAGUUACAAACCGCUGUAAUUAGUUUCGUAAUAAUGGAGACGUGUGAAGGAUUGUUUUGAAAGAAGAAUAUUUCUGUGUUUCCUGAAGUCAAGAUCUGUGAGCGGUUGUAGAGGGAGAGUGUGGAUUCUCCUCUUUGUAGCUGUCUGUCUUGGUUUAGAGAUCGUCCUACUGAGGGCGCUGGGCCAGGUGGUCUCUGGGGUUUGCUGUGGCUCUGGGUCUUGGAAAACUGCAUUUCCUAACUGAGCGCUUCACGGGUACAUUAGUGCCGUCCGGAACUUGGGCUUUUGCAUUUGAUUCCGUCUGAAGCAUUUUUGGUGGCUGUAGGUGGGCAGUUGCUGAGUUACAUGUUGUAGUAUGGUUCCAGCACUCAGAAGUUAAACUUGGUAGGAGGAAGAUCUAUUUGAAAUUUCACCCAGCAUUAAAACACAAGGAACAGAUUAUUGGAGUGAAGCGUUCGCAUUUCUGCAACACCUGUAGAUAGAUAAUAAUGUCUCCCACAGGUCCACACCCAUGUGUCUUAGCUGUCCGUCUGCAGCAGAAAUACUUGCCAGACCGAGGUCUGCUGAGCUUGAGGCCUGAGGUGUAGGACUGGCGAGGAGCAGCCUUUUCUGUCGUGUGGGUGCUGUUUCUCGGGGCUUCAGUUCUGUGUAGUCUUGAGCAGCCAGCUGGCAAGAACAGGUCACGGCUCACCUGGUUUUAUUCCCUGGGGAACCCCUGCUUGCUCUGAUGCCAUCUGCACUUCAUGAAAUCACAACUGAAUAAUUUUACAUGGAUUCCCACAGAUGUGGGUUUACCGAGUCCCUGCUGUGUCCCAGGUACUUCCCGGGCUGUCGGAGGUGGAGCGUCUGUGCCUUCCUGAGUGUGCGCUGUCAUCUGUUGGCUGGGUGCAGACGUGUGAGUGCUUCUGGGAGUUCAGGCCUGGUGCUCUGCGGGACACCACCUCUCCCAGCAGACGCAGGGCUCCCGCACCACGGACACUGGGAACGGUUCCCCUUGAAAAUGCAGAUUCAUCUUCUCAGUUUAUGUGAGUGACCAGCUUAUUUAGAAGGUUGGAUGCAGAGGUCAAAGGUGUGAGUGGCCAGCUGAUUUAGAAGGCUGGAUGCAGAGGUCAAAGGUGUGAGUGGCCAGCUGAUUUAGAAGGCUGGAUGCAGAGGUCAAAGGUGUGAGUGGCCAGCUGAUUUAGAAGGCUGGAUGCAGAGGUCAAAGGUGUGAGUGGCCAGCUGAUUUAGAAGGCUGGAUGCAGAGGUCAAAGGUGUGAGUGGCCAGCUGAUUUAGAAGGCUGGAUGCAGAGGUCAAAGGUGUGAGUGGCCAGCUGAUUUAGAAGGCUGGAUGCAGAGGUCAAAGGUGUGAGUGGCCAGCUGAUUUAGAAGGCUGGAUGCAGAGGUCAAAGGUGUGAGUGGCCAGCUGAUUUAGAAGGCUGGACGCAGAGGUCAAAGGUGUGAGUGGCCAGCUGAUUUAGAAGGCUGGACGCAGAGGUCAAAGGUGUGAGUGGCCAGCUGAUUUAGAAGGCUGGACGCAGAGGUCAAAGGUGUGAGUGGCCAGCUGAUUUAGAAGGCUGGACGCAGAGGUCAAAGGUGUGAGUGGCCAGCUGAUUUAGAAGGCUGGACGCAGAGGUCAAAGGUGUGAGUGGCCAGCUGAUUUAGAAGGCUGGACGCAGAGGUCAAAGGUGUGAGUGGCCAGCUGAUUUAGAAGGCUGGACGCAGAGGUCAAAGUGUGAGUGGCCAGCUGAUUUAGAAGGCUGGACGCAGAGGUCAAAGGUGUGAGUGGCCAGCUGAUUUAGAAGGCUGGACGCAGAGGUCAAAGGUGUGAGUGGCCAGCUGAUUUAGAAGGCUGGAUGCAGAGGUCAAAGGUGUGAGUGACCAGCUGAUUUAGAAGGCUGGAUGCAGAGGUCAAAGGAGAAGUGCUGUGGGAGAAUUCUGGAGAAGAAAUAAGGUUUGGGGAAGUUUGAGGAAAAGAAAGGAAAGUGCUUGGUAACUGACACGGGCGUGAGGAGCCGGCACUCACCCCGGGGAGCGUGGAGGCCGCCGGGGCGCACACGCUCGCAGCUGGCAGGCUGGCGGGACUGGCGUUUAUGCUGCGCUAUCCUUGAGAGUAAUCUGAAGUGAUGGACGUGUCCGAGUAGAAUUAAGUUGAGGCCAUCAGCCCAGCGCCUCAGGGUGAGCAGGUCACGGAGCGUCUAGUCGUUACGUGAGGAGAGUUGGCGAGGAUCGUGGGAGGGCGUCGUGGGCAUCACUCUGGAAGCUCCUGGAAAGUGCCCUGAUGUUGGCUCUAGUGCAGUUAGCCUGUGUGUGCUCUUUCUUUACAAGUCAGUAGUCUUUGAAAGACUAAAUUUUAUAAUGAAUCUUGCAAGUUAUGCUUUGUGUAGCAAGAGUUCAAAAGGGUAUUUUUUAGCCCUUUUGUUUGAAAAUUUUUCACUAACAUGCAUAUUUUCCAAGCAUUGAUCUCAGUGUAAUAUUUUAAUAUGUGUGGAUCUAAACCAGUUAGAAUGGAUUAAGACAUAUAAACUUACGGCUGGAGCCCCAAAACUUUUUUUCUCAGGACAUAUUAAAAAAUAAUUUUUUAGGGGAUAAAAGUUCAUCACAAAAACAGUUCUGACAAUUCUGUGGUGUUUGGGAAUGGUCAGCGGUGGAGGUGGACUCCCUUCCUGGCAGAGUCGUCAGCUUGGGGAGCAUCUGACCCUAAGCUUGAGGCUGCAAGUGGAACCGUUGCCGCGUCUGGAAUGCUGUUCCUGGGGGUUCUAGGUGUACCUGUGGGCGCAGUCCUUGGGCCCCACACGCUCCUGUUCUGCUUCCU